rnacentral:lncRNA from 1 species
UCUUGCCAAAAUGAACCUCAGAGACAUACAUCUAAGGACCUUGCGUGCACCAAAGAGGGCCUAGGAGGACAGCAGCUGUCCCUACUUGCUGCACUGUGGGGAGGCGCCUGUGCUCACUGCUCUGCUGUUGAAGAGCUCAGUGAAGCAUAUGAUGUGACUGUGGAUAUCCAACUGCUUUAGCUGACAUCUUGGAAGGAAAGCAGGAGAGAGACCUGGGCCCUGACCUUCCUUCGUCACCAUCAGCUUGUGACAUCUUCUCAGGCCAGCCCUAGCCAACUCUGUGACUGUUUCCACAGGUGUCGAUGUUGGCAUCAUGUCUAACUUCUGCUGCUUCCCAAGGUCGCCAUGAUCAUCUCAUUAGUGAGCAGAUGUAAAGUAUUUGUAAAAAGGCAUCAUACAAAAACAAAGUUCAUUGUUAUUCAUCCUUUUCCUUCCCAAAUACACUAGACUUCUUUAAAACAUUAAAGCAAAGUGAGGCCAAGCUGUUUACUUGUUUAACCUAAUAUGAAGGGCCACUGCAAAGCCUGAGGCUCAAAGGUAAGAUUCACAGCCAGGUGCAGUGCCUCCCGCCUGUAAUCCCAGCACUUUGGGAGGCCAAGGCAGGAGGAUUACUUGAGGCCAGGAGUUCGAGACUAGCCUGGGCAACAUAGUGAGACCCUGUCUCUACAAAAAUAAAAAAAAUUAGCCAGGCAUGGUGGUGAGCGCCUGUAGUUUCCAGCUACUCAGGAGGCUCAAUUGCAUAUUCCUAAUUCAUACUUUCUUCUCUCCGUUUCAUAAAUAUUUGUUUUCCAGGUAUCACAGAAAGAAUUGAAAGGCAAGGUUGUCAGACAGAUAUGGCAGCUAAGACACCAACUGAGGAAUGUUAUCAAUGUAGCUCCGUGAAAUUGCCAUAUUUUACAUCCUGCAGUUCUGCAGUCAAGUGGUGGUAUUUUUGUCACAGCCCACAUCAAAGCCCAGAUGGCAUGAGGGAGGGAUGGAAAUGGGGCUCCAUAACCCUCAGGAACUCUGAAGAUUUCAUCUCCUAAGUGGAGCCAGAAUCCAGACGCUGGGAAAUGUGAAUGUUCCAAUAUGGCUGACCAUCAUGGAAUGGGAUCAACAGAUGGAAAUAGGAGGCUUCAUCUUCUUCAUCUUGGUCCUGAGGCUCCAUCAGCCAGGUUUCCAGCACACAUUAAACCCAGGGCUAGAGUCUUUAUCAAAAGAAGACAUUUGGACACAGACACAUACACAGAGAGGACACUGUGUGAAGACGAAGACAGAGAUUGGAGUGAUGCAUCUGCCAGCUGGGGAAUACUGAAGUCUGCCAGCAGCCACCAGCAGCCAGGAGAGGGACAGGGUGCAAAUUCUCCUUCACAGCCCUCAGAAGGAACCAACCCUGCUGACACCUUCGUCUUGGACUUUCAACAAUAUGAUUCUGUUGUGGGCUCUGUGAGGAGCAAAGGAAAGCACACCACAAGAGCCAGAGGGAGAGAGCUUGGCAGAACUCUGGAGGGAGCCUUUCCAAGACCUGCUUUUAG